UUAAGGUUGUUGACAGAAGAUAGAGAGCACAGAUGAUGAUAUGCAUAUUAUAUAAAAAGCAGCUAGGGAACUCAUGAAUUGUGCAUCUCACUCCUUUGUGCUCUCUAUACUUCUGUCAUCACCCUUCAGC
rnacentral:pre_miRNA from 1 species